AUUUCUUAUUACUUGUGAUGUUUGCUCAUUUAUAUGUUCAGGAUCUGUAAGGAUGCCAGCAUCUCUUUGCGGUGUUGUUGGUCUAAAACCAACUUUUGCACGUAUACCACAUGAUGGAGUUCUUCCCCUAAAUUGGACAGUUGGAAUGGUUGGAAUACUAGCAGGCACAGUUGAGGAUGCAUUGAUUGUUUAUGCAGCUAUCAGUGGUGAAAUUCCAUAUCAGAAGAUUUUCAGUGUAUUGGUAAGAUCGUUUUUCAAAUUAAUGAUUUUUUACCAUCGAUUACUCUGUCCAUGUUUAUAAUA